AAACAUCAGAUUUCGGGAAGUACAUUUUGUGAUGGAGCCAAUUGUCACUCAUGGAUGCACAAUUUAGAGAGCACUAUAGAAAAAACUUCUUUAUCAAAUUUUUUUCGGGGGCUGGCAAUGGCCAUGAUCACCUGCCCUUUAUCUGAAGUCCAACCAUGGCUGACCAACGGAUGCACAUAGACUCAGUUAGACUUCAACCAAUUGGCUUAAUUCAAAACUCUGGUCCAUAAGGAAAUUUGCAGUAUACACGAGCUUUUGUGGCUGAACCUCCAAAAAUCACUGACAAUGUCAUAUCUAGCUCAUCUUCUAGUGUAAUCUCUGAUUAAAUCUCAAAACAACUUCAUCUAUUUGUUGCUCAUGAUUCAGAUCAUAGACAAAGCCUUUUAGAUUUAACAUAUACCGUACCGAGAAAUUAUUUACAUCUGAUAAGGAAGAUCAAUCCCAAAGAGAAAACCCCAUCAGGAAGGUCAAGGAUUUAGCUGCAGAACAAAAUGAGCAUGAGCUCUAUGCGUUCACUCCCAAAGGAAAGUGAGGAAGAUAAAGCCACUCAAAAUAUCAUAUAUGCCCUAAAUCCCUGCCACUAGGAAAAAGUUAGUCACUUUACAAGAGACCUUGGAGGAUGGAGAAACUAUGUUCAGCAAGAACUUGGGGAUGCGAGCAUGGAUUUUGAACUGCCAAAGGAAAUCAAAGAUGAAGCUCACUAAGCUAGUAGCCAGCCAAUGUUUAAAGUUCUAAGCAUGGAGAAUGUUGGUCUGCUACAGCCAAUAUUGUUCAUUGUGGCCUCAUGUACUUUAUUUUUUCCUCAUCAUCAGGCUUACGUGGAAGGUUUGCAUCAGCAGUGUCUUGUGGCCUAGUGAAUACCAAUUUCUGUUUUCCACUGCUACAAUUCAAGUUCUAUUUUUGGUCCACUGUCCAUGGAUUUGAUUCUAAAACAGUUCAAAAGAUUCAUUAUAAUUUGCAUGGAAUUGAUAAUCAACAUAGUGGCAUGAUCAUUUUUAACUUGUUAGUUAAUUUCCUACUGGUGAAAUGCUUGUUUGGAAGCUGCCAAUGUGGUACCAUUUGUUUAACAUUAUUUUCUGAUAUUCAUGUUGCUGUUUUCAAGUUCCAACAUGAAUGUUGUUGGUUGAAAGGUGUUGGCCUCUUCACAAUCAUUGCUGGUGUGAGUUUACUCGGUCGGUACAAGUAAUCAAUUUCAUGAAAAGCCAAGAAAUCCCCCUCGCUUCCCCUUUUAGGAUUUAAACUAGAACUCAAAUUCUAAUAUGUGGCGAAGCAUAUUUUCUACUCGAGCAAAUUUUAACUCAUGGAUGCACUUUUGAGAAAUACCUACGAAAGAAACUCCUUCACCAUUUCAUAGUGGCAUUAGAGCUUGCGUAUUACAUCACAUGGUGAAACAUGAAAGGCGAGGUAGGUACUUGCCAAGUUCUCAGGUUUUGUGGUGAGAUUAUAUUUUUCUUAGAGAAUUAAUAUUCUUGUAUUUUCCCAAUUUGUUGUGUACUCAGUUGUAUGCAUAGACUUAAGUGUUGUAAUCUCUAUUUUCCUUAUAGUGGAUUGAUCGGGUUUGUCC